GACGAACCGUGCGAACGUUGUUCGGAUUCACUGGGCUUAAAGGGCGCGUAGGCGGGCGGUCAAGUCAGGGGUGAAAUCUUUCGGCUCAACCGGAAAAGUGCCUUUGAUACUGGCCGUCUCGAGGGAGGUAGGGGCAUGCGGAACUUCCGGUGGAGCGGUGAAAUGCGUAGAUAUCGGAAGGAACGCCGGUGGCGAAAGCGGCUCACUGGACCACAACUGACGCUGAGGCGCGAAAGCUAGGGGAGCAAACAGG
rnacentral:rRNA from 1 species